rnacentral:lncRNA from 1 species
UGGGAGGGGAUCAAAAUCCCUAGCCGCAUCUCCAUUGCAAUCAGGCCUGGCAUCUCCAUCUCCCUCACCCUCCUUCUCCACCUCCGGCCGCCGCCACGGCCAGGCCAGCGUGGUGGUGCGCCCCUCACCAUCACACCAUCACCACCAUCGCCGCCAGCCACGACCAUCUCCACCACGCACCACCAGCACCACUUCCCACGAGCCGCACCUCACACCACCACCAGCACCACGCCAUCUCCAUCUUCGCCGCCGCGCCACCGCUCGCACAAUCUCUUCUUCCCCUGCUGCUCCUUCCUUCUCCUCACCACGCUGCUGCUUCCCCUCUCACGCCCCUGGUACUGCUCCUUCUCACAUUCCUGCUGCUGCUGCUGCUCGUCUUGUGCCCCUGGUGCUGCUCCUCCUUCCCUCGUCCUUGCUGCUGCUCUCUCCCUCUCUGUUGCUCUUCUCUGAAUCCCCUACUGCUGCUACUCCACUUCCUGUGCUCCCCUUCUUCUUCUAUGAAUCUCGCUGCUGCUGCUCCUCCUCUUAAAACGGCUGCUGCUCCCUCUCCCACUUUCCUCGCUGCUGUUCCCUCUCUCUUCUCACCAAAAUUGCUGAUGUCCUCUUCUCCAUUUGCGUGCUGCCACACCCUUCCUGAAGCUCUCUCAACUUUAUUUUGUUCUGUAUUAGUACUAUUUUGUCUGUAUGUCAGUUAGUUUGCUGUAAUAAUUCAGAUUACUUGUGAUCUUUGUGUUGAAUGUGAUUUCAGUGAACUUGAGAUUUGUAAUAUUGCUCAAUAUUCAGUCUAUAAUGUCUAAAACUUUGUGAUUCGGUGGUGUCUAUAUUCAAUAUAUAUAACCUGUGAUAUAUAUCUUUUAGAUGGUUCAAUCUUUUAGUUAUUGUUGUACUGAUAUAUGUUAAGGUGAUUUGGCUUGUGUGAUACGAGUCUAGUACAUGUGCUAUAUAAAUUCGUGUGUGUUUCUGGUGUAAACCAUCUAUAUUGUGUCUUUUAAUCUUGUUUCUUCCUUCUUCUUACAUGUUAGAUGGUUAUGUGUUCAUGUGUUGCAUCUUCUCGGUGUGUAUUUUAAUUCUUCUAGUAUAAUAAAAAUACCAAAAAGACAGUGAAGAAAAUCUGAACCUUCCUUUGCCCUUUUUGCAUUUUCUUUGGUGACGAUCUUUGGGUACAACCUUGUUUAGUGUAGGUUUAUUUUCUUGCAUUCAUAAUCUGAAUUGUGUUACCUAGCUUUAGCCAAGCACGUUCAUUGAUUUGCCUAGUCCCUGAGGAGAACACGACACUCGUAGUUUGGGGCGUAAAAACCCCGCUAUAUUACAACUGAUCAUUUUGGCGCCGUUGCCGGGGACUAGCGUCGUGUGACUGUGUUAGGCUUUAGACUAGGUUUAGCUUGUUUCCUUUUUGUGCUUUAUAUAUUUGUGAUAUAUCUCUAGCCACUAACCCCUAUUCUAGUUAGUAUCUUUUCGUCUUCUUUUCCUUUUUUGCAGGUUGGAUUAUCCUCUCGGCUAUGGCUUACUAUUCAGGCUUAUGCGAGGAACACUACAAACAGCACGGAAAGUGUUCAAGAACUGAUAGGUAAGAUUUCCCAUCGAUUAGAUGAUUUAGCUCGGCAGCGAGAAGGAGUUUUUGAGGAUAGGCCUAGUUCUUACGAUCCUUAUUCCAGAGGCCAUCCUUAUGUUGCUCCUACUUGCCAUAUUUGUGGAUUUCAGGGCCAUUCGCCCGCUGAAUGUCAGCGUGGUUACUCCCAUCCUACGGAUUGUUUUGGCAUGAGCUUCGCUCAACAGCAUAGCUCAUACCAAAACAAUUACUCACAUGGGUGGCCUGAAAGCCUGAAUAUGUCAUAUAGGAGCAACAACCCUAAGAUCUCACAGUUUGGUUCUAGUAAUCAUAUGCAGGGAUUUAGGUACAAUGAGGAGAGCCACAACUAUGCACCACAACAAUUCCAUUCAGCUCCUACUCAUAUACCACAGCACCAGGAGAUGUGUCCAAUGGAGUUAAAUGGUCCUCCAUUUGGUCAACCAACAACUCCAGCACCUGUUGUGCAAUCUCAUGUGCAAGUGCCCACACAAGAUGAGUUCAAUGACAUAGACAAGCUCACACUUUUGAGUCUCGAGUUCACUUGGAGUGCCGAGGAUGAUCCUAUUAGGAAGGUUAUACUAGAUGAAAUGAAGAAGAUCAAGAGUGGAAAAGAGCUAGUGGAAGAAGUAAGGAAGAUUGAGAACAACAUCAACACUGGCAGCACUAUUUCUUCACAGCUAGAGCUGAGUGUUGCCGAGAUUCCCCUUGAUACAUGUGAGGUUCCAACACCGUCACAUCCAGUUGAGCAAGAUAGUAAGAGUCCAGAGGAAGAAAGACCUCAGAUUGAAGAAGAUGAACUAGAAGACAAGGAACAAGAUGAUCAAGAGCUGCAAUUCCCAAGUGAUCAAGUUGAAGACUCAUCAUCUACUACUCCUAAAGAAGUACAAGAAGCUGCUGUAGAUGAAGAUGAAGAACAUGAGAUUCAUUUGCCUAUUGUCAUACCAGAGCGUGAUGUGUCAGGUUUACCCAAUCCUCUUGAUGACAUGAUGCCUUGUAAUUUCUUUGCUACUACCUUGCAUUACAUGAUACCAUCAAUUAAGCUAGACUUGAAAAAUUAUUUGCUUGGACAUGAUCAUACAUACAUUGUUGGUGGCAUUGCUCUCAUUCCUGAUGAUGACACUUAUUUUCCUUAUGCUAGUUCUAUGCUUAAUGAAACAUAUUAUUCCCAUGCUAGUCUUGAGCUUAAUGAUAAAUUUCAUCCUCAUGUUAGUGUCGACCUUGCUGAUUUCUACCAUCCUAAACAUGUGCUUUAUAGUUAUGCUUAUAUAAUUGGAUAUUACAUUGAUGACUUGGAGGGCAUCGACCGUAUCACUUGUAGUUGUUUGUGUGAGUCCUAUUUCAGGCUUUUGCUACUGCACUGUUUACUACAUGCUGACCAGGUUCGAGGUGACAUUCCUUGGGAUCCUGGUGGAGUCAGAGCAUGGCGAUGAGGAGAAGCAAUGGGGCACACAUAUGGAAGAGUGAAGCUGGAGCAUCCAUGAGGAAGCAAGGGAGAAGAGCUGCAGCUGGUGAGGUGAUCGAGCGAGUGCUACAUCAUCAAAGCCCGGUGAGCUGUUUCAUGACCCAUUCUGAAUAUCAUAAAUACAUGCUGAAUUAAAUUGCUAGUUGGGUUGCUUGAGCUAGUUAUUACUUGUUGUCAAGCUGAAAUUCACCUUUGGCAUUGUGCUUGAUGUGAAUUUGUGAACUUGAUUUCUGAAUGCCUUGUAAACUAGUGAUCUACACCAUGCAUGCUUUGCUGAAAUUUGUGGAAGUUAUUAGUUUUGAGUGCUCAAAUCCCUAGUACACUAGAAAACUUGAUCAUUUUCUGCUUUUACCUUGAUACACCUAGAUCACCAUGUUUAGAUGCUGAAUUUGUGCUAAGUGUGUUCCCAUUGAGAGCAAUCACCUAACCACUAUGGAUUAGCAUGCUAUGUUCCCUGGAUCGGUAGCAUGUGAACCAGACAUGGAGAAGCGAUGAUUCCUAUUUUUGUGCUUAUGAGUUGUUCAUUUAAGAUAAGUAAUAAUGAAUAUAUAAGUCUGGCUACCUACAGUAGCAUGUCAUGUUACCGGGAUCGGUGGCAUGUGAAAUCGGGUUAGCUUGGGCAGUAAUUAAUAAUAAUAAAAAUGUAAUUGUCGAACCAGGUGUAUACCAUGUUCUCGGGAUCGGUGGUAUGUUCCUUUGGGGAGACAAAUAAUUUUUUUUAAUUAAAAUUGGUUGAGCCAGGUGUAUACCAUGUUCUCGGGAUCGGUGGUAUGUUCCUUCGGUGAGACUAAUAAAUUAUUAUGUGUGUUUCUUUCAAAUUCAAUAAGUGGUUCAACCACAAAGUCAUAUUUCUGCAAAUAAGAGACUUAAUUCUAGUUCUUUUUGUUCUCGGGAUCAUGCUCUCUUUAGGAACCAUUUGGCGCAGUCAUCAUUUAAACUUGUUGAUCCUCUUUUAUCACUUUAAAAGUUUAAAAUGGUCAUGCUUACUAGUAUCCUACUGCUUUGUAGCACUCCUAACCAUUAAUUUUCACUAGCUAAGUCUGAAGCAUGCCUUGUUUGGAGAUCUAUUUUACCAGGACAUUCCUUACUCAGUUUACUAUUCAUUAUCUUGCCUUUGUCAUAUUCCUUUGCUUGAGGACAAGCAAAGAUUUAAGUGUGGGGGAACUUGAUAAGUGCAUUUCAUAUAUAUAAUUUGGCACUCAAAUUUAGCAUCUAUCGUGAUUUAUCCAUCCAUUCUUGCUAUGAGUUUAAAUAUAUUUGAAUGAAAAUCAUAUAAAAGAUCAUUUACUUGUCAUUUGUUUAUUUUGCAGAAAAGUGCGAUAAGGCACUAUAAUCUUGAAGAUCUUGUCUACAAAGAAAGAGGAUACAAGACCGAGGGCCAAUAGAAGAGAAGGGGGGACUCGAGUAUGAAGAAUUAAAGAAAUGGAGGGCCAAAACUAAAGAAGAAAGGGAUCUACUUGAGGCUAAAGAAGAGAAGAAGGAGGGCAAAAGUGCAAAAAUGCAGAUCUGGGAGGGGAUCAAAAUCCCUAGCCGCAUCUCCAUUGCAAUCAGGCCUGGCAUCUCCAUCUCCCUCACCCUCCUUCUCCACCUCCGGCCGCCGCCACGGCCAGGCCGGCGUGGUGGUGCGCCCCUCACCAUCACACCAUCACCAUCGCCUCUAGCCACGACCAUCUCCACCAUGCACCACCAGCACCACUUCCCACGAGCCGCACCUCACACCACCACCAGCACCACGCCAUCUCCAUCUUCGCCGCCGCGCCACCGCUCGCACAAUCUCUUCUUCCCCUGCUGCUCCUUCCUUCUCCUCACCACGCUGCUGCUUCCCCUCUCACGCCCCUGGUACUGCUCCUUCUCACGUUCCUGCUGCUGCUGCUCGUCUUGUGCCCCUGGUGCUGCUCCUCCUUCCCUCGUCCUUGCUGCUGCUCUCUCCCUCUCUGUUGCUCUUCUCUGAAUCCCCUACUGCUACUACUCCACUUCCUCUGCUCCCCUUCUUCUUCUCUGAAUCUCGCUGCUGCUGCUCCUCCUCUUAAAACUGCUGCUGCUCCCUCUCCCACUUUCCUCGCUGCUGUUCCCUCUCUCUUCUCACCAAAAUUGCUGCUGUCCUCUUCUCCAUUUGCUUGCUGCUACACCCUUCCUGAAGCUCUCUCAACUUUAUUUUGUUCUGUAUUAGUACUGUUUUUGUCUGUAUGCCAGUUAGUUUGCUGUAAUAAUUCAGAUUACUUGUGAUCUUUGUGUUGAAUGCGAUUUCAGUGAACUUGAGAUUUGUAAUAUUGCUCAAUAUUCAGUCUAUAAUGUAUGAAACUUUGUGAUUCGGUGGUGUCUAUAUUCAAUAUAUAUAACCUGUGAUAUAUAUCUUGUUAGAUGGUUCAAUCUUUUAGUUAUUGCUGUACUGAUAUAUGUUAAGGUGAUUUGGCUUGUGUGAUACGAGUCUAGUACAUGUGCUAUAUAAAUUCAUGUGUGUUUGUGGUGUAAACCAUCUAUAUUGUGUCUUUUAAUCUUGUUUCUUCCUUCUUCUUACAUGUUAGAUGGUUAUAUGUGUUCAUGUGUUGCAUCUUCUCGGUGUGUAUUUUAAUUCUUCUAGUAUAAUAAAAAUACCAAAAAGACAGUGAAGAAAAUCUGAACCUUCCUUUACCCUUUUUACAUUUUCUUUGGUGACGAUCUUUGGGUACAACCUUGUUUAGUGUAGGUUUAUUUUCUUGCAUUCAUAAUCUGAAUUGUGUUACCUAGCUUUAGCCAAGCACGUUCAUUGAUUUGCCUAGUCCCUGAGGAGAACACGACACUCGUAGUUUGGGGCGUAAAAACCCCGCUAUAUUACAACUGAUCAGUGCCGAUGAAACUUGCUAGUUAUAGGUGUCAAUCAUAAGUAUGCGUAACCAUUAUGUGUCUCCCGUUCGAAAGGGUUACAUCUAUAAAUAUGCAUGUAUUUGCAUAUUUUAUAAUCGUGAUUAUUUCUAAUUGUCCAACGUUAUCCAUGGACAACCCGAGUAUGUGUAGAUUGGGUUCAUUUUCCCAUAUGCUCAGCUCCGGAUCCGAUGCAGAAUUUCGUCAGUGCCUCCCUGUUGUUCUCUGGGUACACAUCCUCUCUGCUUAUUGCCGAGACGUGUAUCAGGAGAACAGCAGGGAGGUGCUGCCAAAAUUUUGCGUCGGAUCUGGAGCAGAGCAUGGGAAAACGAACCCGAUCUACACAUACUCGGAUGGGAUUAGGACCUAUCCUUACCUAUUAGCGUGUAGGUUGCAUAGACGUAAUAAAACUAACAAACUCCAUUAACUGAUGGAUAUGGUUUGCCUAAUUAUGUAUAUAUUUCUUGUUUGUCCAGUAGGAAGUCAAUAUGAGUGACCGUGCGUGGAUGUACACCGACUACACUAGUCAGUAGGUUUGGACCGAGGAAUGGUUAACAAAACUAAGGGGUUUGUUAGAGCCGCAUUUGCAAAUGGC